GACGAACGCUGGCGGCGUGCUUAACACAUGCAAGUCGAACGGUGAACUCCGCUUGCGGGGGGAUCAGUGGCGCACGGGUGAGUAACACGUGGGCAACCUGCCCUCAGCUCUGGGAUAACUCCAAGAAAUUGGGGCUAAUACCGGAUAUGACCGCUGACCGCAUGGUCUGGUGGUGGAAAGAUUUAUCGGCUGGGGAUGGGCCCGCGGCCUAUCAGCUUGUUGGUGGGGUAGUGGCCUACCAAGGCGACGACGGGUAGCCGGCCUGAGAGGGUGACCGGCCACACUGGGACUGAGACACGGCCCAGACUCCUACGGGAGGCAGCAGUGGGGAAUAUUGCGCAAUGGGCGAAAGCCUGACGCAGCGACGCCGCGUGGGGGAUGACGGCCUUCGGGUUGUAAACCCCUUUCAGCAGGGACGAAGCGAAAGUGACGGUACCUGCAGAAGAAGCACCGGCCAACUACGUG
rnacentral:rRNA from 1 species